AUUAUAAUUAUUUUAUUCAUUUUUUUUUAUUUUUAUUUUAUUAAGUAUUUUUAAUGAAUUUUUUAUUUUUUUUUUACUGAAUAGGAAAUUUUAUUUUAUUUUAAAAUAAUUUUUAGUACCUUUUGUCUCAGGGUUAAUUAAAUAAUUUUUAUAUAAUUUUUUCCCGAAUUUGAAUUAUUUAUUUUAUUAUAAUUUUAAACGUUUUAUAGUUUUUAUUAAUAUUAAGAUAAUAAUUAUAAGUUAUUUGUUUUUUUAUAUAUCUGGUUAAUUUGGAUAUAAAUUUAAUUUAUGAAUUAUUUUUAUUUAUUAUUUUCAUAUUUAAUUCUUAUAUUAUUGAGGAUAAGCUUAAUAUUUUAUUAAAAUUUUUAUUUUUUUUAUUUUUAUUAUUUUUAGAAUCAUUAUUUUAGUUCUUAAUUGAUUGAAUUAUUUUAUUAAGAUUUAUUUUUAUUUAAUAUUUUACAAUUUUUUUUUUAUUAAUUUUAUUUUUUAUUAAUUAUGAUUAUAUUAGUAUAAUUUUUAUAUUAUAUUUAUGAAUUCAACAAAUAUUUAUUCUUAACUGUUUAUCAAAAACAUUUCUUUUAGUUUUUGUUAAAAGUAAGUUCUGCCCUAUGAUUAAUUAUUUUAAAUGGCUGCGGUAUUUUGACCGUACAAAGGUAGCAUAAUAAAUUGUUUCUUAAUUAGGAACUUGUAUGAAUGAUCAUAUAAGGAAUUAUUUUUAUUUUAGUAAUUUUUAUAAUUUUAUUUUUUAGUAAAAAAUCUAAAUUUUUUUCUUGGGACGAAAAGACCCUAAAGAACUUUAGUUAAUAUUUUUUGAAUUAUUUUAAUUAUAUUAUUUUAUUUUUUAUUAAUUUUUGUUGGGGUGAUGGAAAAAUUUAUUCUUUUUUUUAUUAUAUCAUUAAUUUAUGUAUUUUUUGAUUCAUUUUUUUUUUUGAUUAAAAGAUUAAGUUACCUUAGGGAUAACAGCGUAAUUUUUAUGGUAAGUUCACAUUUAUAUAAAAGUUUGCGACCUCGAUGUUGAAUUAGGAUAAGAUUAUAAUGCAGUUUUUAUAAGUUUAAGUCUGUUCGACUUUUAAUUUCCUACAUGAUUUGAGUUCAAACCGGUGUAAGCCAGGUUGGUUUCUAUCUUAGAAUAAUUAGUUUUUUUUAGUACGAAAGGACCAUAAAAAUCAAUUUUUAUUGU
rnacentral:rRNA from 1 species